UACUUGUAUUGUGCUUUUCUACCUCUAAGGUAGGGCUGGGUGAUAUAUUGCAGGUUUGUCUCUGUGCGAUACAGAAAAUGACUAUAUCGUUAUAUUCGAUGAUAUGUUCUCACAUCGUUGCUUUCAGCUGCGUGCAUUACAUUACUGGCGUGUCUCACUCCUUCUAGUCUGUCCUCCUCACAGAGACGUGAAACAAGCCCGCCUUCUUACUUACGUCACAUACUCUCGCGAGUCUAGCGUCACACGCUCUCGCCGAUCAGAGAGGUAGCAGCAUGGCUAACAUUAGCUGAGGCAGGUGGAGCUUGUGACAAUACGAGAGAGAGAUGGUGCCAAACUUAUCACAAAUGGAGGAAGAACAAUAAAUGUCCAACAUAAAGAGCAGGGGGUCCAUCAUCUGGUGGUUUGGCUCCAAGUGGGAAGAUAUUCAGCAGACAACAGCAACAUAGAAUCAUCAUACUGCUGUCAUUAUAUGUGUCAAGUGUUCAGUCAACAUAGAAUCAUCAUACUGCUGUCAUUAUAUGUGUCAAGUGUUCAGUCAACAUAGAAUCAUCAUACUGCUGUCAUUAUAUGUGUCAAGUGUUCAGUCAACAUAGAAUCAUCAUACUGCUGUCAUUAUAUGUGUCAAGUGUUCAGUCAACAUAGAAUCAUCAUACUGCUGUCAUUAUGUGUCAAGUGUUCAGUCAACAUAGAAUCAUCAUACUGCUGUCAUUAUAUGUGUCAAGUGUUCAGUCAACAUAGAAUCAUCAUACUGCUGUCAUUAUAUGUGUCAAGUGUUCAGUCAACAUAGAAUCAUCAUACUGCUGUCAUUAUAUGUGUCAAGUGUUCAGUCAACAUAGAAUCAUCAUACUGCUGUCAUUAUGUGUCAAGUGUUCAGUCAACAUAGAAUCAUCAUACUGCUGUCAUUAUAUGUGUCAAGUGUUCAGUCAACAUAGAAUCAUCAUACUGCUGUCAUAUGUGUCAAGUGUUCAGUCAACAUAGAAUCAUCAUACUGCUGUCAUUAUAUGUGUCAAGUGUUCAGUCAACAUAGAAUCAUCAUACUGCUGUCAUUAUGUGUCAAGUGUUCAGUCAACAUAGAAUCAUCAUACUGCUGUCAUUAUAUGUGUCAAGUGUUCAGUCAACAUAGAAUCAUCAUACUGCUGUCAUUAUAUGUGUCAAGUGUUCAGUCAACAUAGAAUCAUCAUACUGCUGUCAUUAUAUGUGUCAAGUGUUCAGUCAACAUAGAAUCAUCUUACUGCUGUCAUUAUAUGUGUCAAGUGUUCAGUCAACAUAGAAUCAUCAUACUGCUGUCAUAUGUGUCAAGUGUUCAGUCAACAUAGAAUCAUCAUACUGCUGUCAUUAUAUGUGUCAAGUGUUCAGUCAACAUAGAAUCAUCAUACUGCUGUCAUUAUAUGUGUCAAGUGUUCAGUCAACAUAGAAUCAUCAUACUGCUGUCAUAUGUGUCAAGUGUUCAGUCAACAUAGAAUCAUCAUACUGCUGUCAUUAUAUGUGUCAAGUGUUCAGUCAAGGCCAAGGCAAAAUAUCCUGAUAUAUAUCAUGUAUCGCAAUAUGGCAUAAAAAUAUUGCAAUAUUAAUAAAAGCCAAUAUCACCCAGUCCUAAUUCAAUUAUUAGUUUGUUAAAUGUAUUCACUUAUUAGUUUGUGAAAUGUAUUCACUUAUUAGUUUUCCCCACAGGAUGCCCACACUUGCUGUUUGGGGAACAGUUGGCGGCGUAGCCUUGGUUCACUUCACAGACUGGCGAAUGUUCCUGGACUAUGUGCCCUACAUCAGUGGCAAGUUCAAGAAGGACUAACCAGUUUGUUGUGGGAGAUGAUGAACCAGGACUGUUUUGCACUGAACUCCAUCCAACUGUCAUCUUCAUCCUGCUUGUGCAACAGCGUGACGACCUCCACCUUCAUCACUGCACUUGGGCUUCAAUGCUCCGUCCAAAUGAAAGAAUAGGAAAACACAGACAAUGCACAGACUUUUUGUUUUCCCUGCUGCAGUUGGAGCUUCUUAUGUUACUCGUUAGUUGCUGUCUGAUUUAAAUGUUCAGCUCUGUACUUCAAGCAAAACUGUUUUUGAAGAGUAAAAAGUAUGUGAAACACCUCA